rnacentral:rRNA from 1 species
GCCAGGAUGUUGGCUUAGAAGCAGCCAUCAUUUAAAGAAAGCGUAAUAGCUCACUGGUCGAGUCGGCCUGCGCGGAAGAUGUAACGGGGCUAAACCAUGCACCGAAGCUGCGGCAGCGACGCUUAUGCGUUGUUGGGUAGGGGAGCGUUCUGUAAGCCGUUGAAGGUGGCCUGUGAGGGUUGCUGGAGGUAUCAGAAGUGCGAAUGCUGACAUAAGUAACGAUAAAGCGGGUGAAAAGCCCGCUCGCCGGAAGACCAAGGGUUCCUGUCCAACGUUAAUCGGGGCAGGGUGAGUCGACCCCUAAGGCGAGGCCGAAAGGCGUAGUCGAUGGGAAACAGGUUAAUAUUCCUGUACUUGGUGUUACUGCGAAGGGGGGACGGAGAAGGCUAUGUUAGCCGGGCGACGGUUGUCCCGGUUUAAGCAUGUAGGCGGAGGUUCCAGGUAAAUCCGGUACCUUUUUAACGCUGAGGUGUGAUGACGAGGCACUACGGUGCUGAAGUAACAAAUGCCCUGCUUCCAGGAAAAGCCUCUAAGCAUCAGGUAACAUCAAAUCGUACCCCAAACCGACACAGGUGG